rnacentral:lncRNA from 1 species
GAGUAAGAAUUUCAGGAAUGAAGAAUAUCUCAGAGAAAGGGCAAUACUCACUCCUCUAAAUGAGACUGCUGAUGAGAUAAAUGAUUACAUUGUUCAGUUAACUGAAGGACCAAUAAAAGAGUAUAGAAGCUCAGAUGAGAUUGACAAGACAACUGACAAUCUUUCAGAACAAGAACUCAUGUACCCUGUAGAAUUUCUAAACUCCAUGAAGAUUAAUGGAUUUCCUAACCAUUGUUUGGAACUAAAAGAAGGAUUGCCUGUUAUGUUAUUGAGGAACAUUAAUCCUGCAUUAGGAAUGUGCAAUGGGACGAGGCUAAUUAUCACACAUCUAGGAGAUUGGGUAAUAGAGGCAAAAAUAAUUACAGGAUGCAAUGUUGGAUCAAAGGUAUUGAUCCCGAGAAUUGUUCUCACAUCUGACGACUCUAAGUGGCCUUUUCAAUUGCGCAGAAAGCAAUUCCCAUUGAAGGUAUGCUAUGCAAUGACGAUAAACAAGAGUCAGGGUCAGUCGUUAAACUACAUGGGAUUAUAUCUGCCACGACCUGUAUUCAGUCAUGGACAGUUAUAUGUGGCAUUUUCAAGAGUUACUUCACCAAAGGGUUUAAAAAUUCUGAUUAUUGAAGAAGAUCAGAAUUACAAGCAGUACACUAAAAAUGUUGUAUACCAUGAGGUAUUUAGUGACCUUCCGCAAUGUACAUAUGGUUGACAUAACAAUGUAUAUUGAAUAAUAAAAUCUUUCAGUAAACACCUCAUAAAUAGCCUAAAGUUGGUUCUUAUUUUCAACUCUAUCUUGCAGUAUUAGCCAAAUGCAACAAUUUUAUCUUCUACCAAAGCAAUUUCAAUAUGGAAAAAUAUAUAUAUGCUGAAUAUAAAUUUCAAUAUAUAUUCCCAAUAUUAAUGAUUUAUAAAACAACUUACCAACAUAAACAGCGGCAACACGAUCACGAUCUGCCAGCUGAUAAAUUUCCAGGUUGAUUUUCCCUUGAUUACGGCAUCACCUUCGAUUGUAGUCAACAGAGGAACGGAGAAGAAUCCAAUUAGAUCUUCCUUUGGAGAGCUUAAAUUGUAGUCGACUGAAGAAAACUAAAACAACCAAUUUAAAUUCACAAUAGGAGAAGAACAUGAAAAUUGCGGUUGAGAUCCUUGCUCCUGCGUUCUAAUUUUAAUUUAUCCUAUAAAGAAUGAUGAAGAAUUCGCACACCGAAAUUUAUGAGAGAUCCAAUCCUAUUUUUCCGAGAUCCAUCAAUUCUAUAAUUUAUACAUCAAUUCAACUCAAUUUGGAUAAAAUUGCUGAUGCAUCGUGAGAACUUAAACCCAUUUUUUUAUUCAUGAUAGCUUGAAGUCCUUUUUGUGUUUUUUUUUUUUUUUUUU